ACAUAUGCACAAGUGCACACAUACCCUAUGUGUGUGCAUAUAUACAUGUGUGUAUACGCAUGCAUGUAUGUGUAUGUACCGUAUAGUUUAUAUAUUACACAUGAGUAAUAUACAUAAAAUACUAUAGAUAUAUACUUAUACACACACAAAACUGAGUUUUGCAGGACUCUUGUGUCCUUUUCAGAGAUCGACUGUCUUCCUCUUUCUCAGGCUGCCUCCUGACCCCCACCCCAUCCAUCGUGAUUUCUCGGUCAUGGUCACUUCCUGUGCCUUGGGCAGUGCCCUAGGCUUCAAACCUUUUCAGAUUCUUUCUGUUCCUCAAAACUGACCUGUCCAGUGCCCCAUUUCCUAAGAACCCUUUUGGUGGGGUUGGUUCUAAUCUACUAAGCUAGUUCCAUCAGGUGGUUGUUAAUGGCUUACCGUAUUAUACUCUUUGCAUGUUAACUGAAUUCUUCUGGGCUCUAUCCCAAAUGACUGCUGCCAGGGCCUGGAUCAGGGCGAGGUAAGUGGGUGCCUUGGAUGCAAACUUCAAGGAGAUGCUCGCACAACACUGAGAGUGAGUGUCUCUUAGAUGUAGUGCCUUAGGAGCUUUUCUUGCCUCCCCUGAAUUCAGGCCCUGACUGCCAGAGCGUGGAAACGUAAAGCUUUGUGAUCAGCAAGAAGAGAGAAACUUCUUGUCUCCAGAAUCACAUUCUAUUAGUAUCUGCUCACUCUAAGUCUUAACCUGGGGACACCCUAGGUUCUUAAAUUCAUUUGCUAAGUCAAAAGGUAAAAUAUCACAUAAGACAUGUUUACUUGUCAAGAUAUUUCUUAAUGCAUGACAGUUUUGAAACAGCAAAAAAAAAAAAAAGAUUCUGGAUAAUAGCAACAGAAGAGAGCUGGGCAUAUACAAUAAUGCUGAUUUGGCCUGACUUCAUCUUAUUUUUGUAGAAUAGAAAUUCUGAAAUAGUAUGUUAUUAAGGCUAAAUUUAAGAUAUAAAAUUAGACAAUCAAGAACAUAAAGCUUGUGCGGUCAAAACACAAGUAUAUUUCUCAAAUAGACUAAUUGCUUUAAAGGCAAAAUUUACAAGAUUCCCAGGGACACACAUCUCCAUGGGUGUGUUUCACCACUGAGGUGGAAUCUGCAUAUUUCCAGGUCCUAAUGGAUGAAUGAAUGCUGAUGUCUGGUGACUUACUGUCACCUUGCCUAAGUCAGGAGUGCAAAGGCAACGUUCUGAUCGUAAGGAAUGUGUGGCGCAAUCAUUUUGGAGGUUCUAGAAAUCAUUUUGGUCAUAAACAUUUUAUCCAAAUAGGAAAUUAAAUGAACAGGAAACCAUUACAUUAUAUUCUUAUUAAAGGGAUAGUGGUUUUGAACAAUUGCUUUUGAAAACAAAUGGGCAAUUAUUUCACAUCUAUCACUAAAGGCUAACGGUCUUAGCUGAAAGUAAGUGACGUGAGCUUUGUUGCAGAGAUUCCUAUUAAAGAAAAAACAGGACAUGAUUUCCUCCAGCAGGCGCAUAAGGAUGAUUUUCCGGCUUCAGAAUUUCCCUUUUGACUUCCAAUCAUGCUUCUCCAAGGGGUGCUUGCUAGACUGGAGCUACGGAAUGUGACCAUGGAGGGGAAAAGAAACUGAUGAAGCCGUACUGAAACGUGAUGUGCAUCUUUUCAGCAACACUAAGGAAGGGAUGAUUAAGUGUUUGUUACUUUUCUAUAUCAUCUAUUUUUUUCUUAUUUUUGGAUUCAUGUUUAAUUAUUUAUUCAGUACCCAUAGAGUACUUUCCUGGAAGUGAUUUUCUUUAUUGACACUAAUGAUGUUGAAGAUAACUGUAAUAAUUAUUAUAAAUCAUUUAACGUUCUUACAAUUUAAUCUCCAUCCAUUAUUUAUUAGCUGUACAUAGGCUUAUGCUACCUUUAAUUUUCACAAUUCUAUUAUCUUUAUAAUAGAAACUGAGGCUAAGAAAGCUAAGAGACAUGGUCUAGAUCACGUAGUCAAGAACUAGAAACUGGGAUGAAUCCUGGCUUUAUUUUUUUUUCCAAAUCCUCUGCCUCUGAUGUCUAUUGGCUUUCCAGGACCGUCCACUCAAUCCUGGUCUUUUUGGAUAUUUCCCUAGGCUCUAGGCAUUUCCUGUUUACCCUUCCUCUCUGUUUCUCACCAAACUAGCCCCCAGAUAGGUUGUUGAUUGUCAGAAAUAAGAUAAAUUAAUUCACACUGGGACUGAUUGGGACUAAUUCAUUUCUGUAUUCUACAAAGAGUUAAGGAUGACCUCCUUUCACCACACAUUCUGCCUGCUUCUAGAUUCUACAAAUGAAGACAGCAUAUCCCUGUCCUCAGGGAGCCCUUUGCUCACAGACAUGUCUACUGGACAAAUCAUGACCAUAUAUUAUCUCUCCUGUGUGCUGUAUCUAUUUUAAGAGGGAUAGAGUUGUAACGAUGAAACUUUAGGCACCAGCCUGCCAGCCUCAUAAAACCGUAAUGGAGGGGUGGGGUGAGGGGUCUAAGGUGCCCCAGGACCUGUAGGAGCAGGACUUUGCUUCUGCCUGAGGCUGAUCCUGUUAGAAAACAGUCCAUUUUAGACUGUUACCAUGCCUACAAUAUUACUAAUUUGGAACUUUCUCAAGUUUUAUCUCUUAAAUCUAAAUUCUGUAAGGUAGCCUAAUAAGUUAUUUUUCUCCAACAAUAUUUAGAAUCAUAAUUUUGGCAAAGCAGGAGGUCAGGUGCCCCUUCAAUCGUGAGAUUUAAAUCUGUUUCCUGUUAUCUUCUUUCUACUUCUUUCUGCAGCCCUAUCAUUGUGCUUGUAGUUCAGCUGGUGGCUCUGACGGGGUUCAGGACAUGCUAUCCCAAAUUUGAUACCUUGGUAUAUGGACUGUCUUAAGCUGAAGAAGUUUGAGAAAAUGGUAGAAGCAGGAAAGUUACUCUGACUUCCCCACCCCAUCCUCCUUCUUCCGUGAAAGCAGGGGUAAAUUUGCCCAUGUGAAAGGUACCCUCCCUGUAUCCAGAGGAGAGAAGACAUGGUUUUCACCAGCGAUGGGGAAGCCGUUCAAACAAACUUCAUUAAACUAACCCUUAGUAUUCUUCCUCACCACUCACUACCCCCAGCCCAAACCCCUUUGCCUUGUCAAAUCAUCACAAAUGUAUUGUUUUGGUGUCUAAAAGGUAUAAAAGCUUCCUGCUCUGGUCACUUCUUAGGUCUUUAUUCUCUUGUGAAGACUUCCACAUAUAUGUCAAAAUGCAAUAUAUCUUGUAUACUUUUCUUCUGUUAACCUAUCUUUGUCUGUUUAAUUUUCAAACCCAGGCAGGACCCCUAAGAGGGUUGAGGAAAAUGUUUUCCUUCCCUACAGCUCUAUGGAACUCCUGCCAGAAAAUGGAUGAAAAUUACCUUCAAAAUAUAUCAUUUCUGAAUUUAAAGAUUCAGUGAAACACUGUUGUAAUGAUAUGUAGAGAAAUAUUCACAGAUAAUCUAUUAAGCUUGCUAAACUUUUAUUUUGUUUUCAUGUGAAUGUAUCAUAUCACUGGAGAUAGACUAGAACCAAGAUAUAACAUGAUUUUCUAUGAGUGAAAGGCCAUCUGUCUUGCUUUUUUACGUGACUAUGUACAACAUUUGCUAAUAUGUACCACCAGACUUUCUUAAAUGAUUGCUAUGAACAAAUUUAAAUACAAACACUAAAAGUCUCAAUAAAAAUCACUGUAAAUAUUUCAAACAUAUUCAACUAGGGAAUGGAAAUCAGAGACAUAAGUAGUUCUAUGAUAUGGUUGCAUAUAGUUUUAAGGAGGGGAAGGUCAGAUUUCUUCAGCAAAUAGGUGACCAUCAUUCUAGGAAGAUGAUGAUACUACCUGAGAAGGUGAACUGAGAACUUCAAGUUCUCAAGAGUUUUCCAGGAAUCCUUCACAUAGCCUGAUGCCAAAGGCUGCUCUCGGGUAAUGAAAUGGGCUGAAUCUCCUUUCCCGUACAGCAGGGGUCCCCAAACCCCAGGCCUGUUAGGAACCGGGUGGCCCAGCAGGAGGUGAGCGGCGGUGGGCUGGGGAGCGAGUGAAGCUUUCUGUGCGCUCACUAUCGUUCCCCAUCGCUCUCAUUACUACCUGAACCAUCCCCCCUCACCCCUCCCCGCUCCGUGGAAAAAUGGUCUUCCACGAAACCAGUCCCUGGUGCCAAAAAUUUGGGGGACCACGGCUACCUUACAUUUAUAAGUGCUUCUCCUCGUCCUCUUGCUACCUCACUUCCCAGAGCUCAAAAUACUUUCUGCCUCCUAAAUACUCCCUUAUUAACCCUAAAGCCAUGGGGAGGCCAGUAGGGGAAUUUGGAAGGGCUACUCAUUUUCUGAGCUCAGAAAAUUCUAUCACGUCAGGGUCAAGCUCGUCAGAAACGAAUUUGAACCUUCUGGCUUUGCACAAGGAAAUACGAAAAUAGUUGGUGGUCACCCCUCCCCACCCGCCAGAAGAAUUGAAGAGAAUAUUCUCCAGUUUGUCCGGUUGAAGAUAUUUCUGCAAGCGUACAGUUUGAGGCCUGGGGAAUCCUGGCAUGCUCUUUCUGCUGGUUUCUCCUCUUUAAGAUGUGAGGUCAGCAAUCCAUCCAGUCGUCAUUCCUUUGCAGUUCAAUUCACAGGCCCCAGCCACUGAACUUGAAAAUAGAGGAAAAGGUUUUUUCCUCCCCUCCACCUGAAAUCCAUUUACUUUCUGGGAGAAGGCCAAGAGACCCUCUGCCAACAAGCCCUAACUGUGGCCUUUUAAAGAGGAAGAAGAAGUGAAUCUGUAUAGCUGUAACGGCCAAGGGACAUCAGGAAGGUGAAAUGCAGUGAUGCCAGAUGGAAUUUGGCUAGCAGAGAAUCUUCGUGGUUGGUAAGAGGUGGGGAGGAGUAGGCCCAUGACAUGUGCUCCUUGGGGAUGUAGAAGAGAGAGCAGGUGACCUUGACUACCUCCUCCCUGUAAGCAGCUUCCUCAGCUGUCAUCUCUCCUUCAAGAAAGACAUUUAUUUGGAGCUGUGCAGUCAUUUAGAGGACGCUUUUCUGUGGCUCACCUCGGGAUGACUUUGCAAAAUUAGGGAACUCUGGAAAAGAUGCAGGCUGAGAUUGGCCCUGGCCAGAGUUCACAGAAGAUGGCAGCUAUGGGAGGCAAGAGCUGGGCUGUGCUCAGUUUGGCUGGCAACCCUGGACGGCAAGAAGAUGCUCAGACAUCAGAGGAAUUCCGUUCCUCUCUCAUAGCCCCUCUAAUCCAGCGUGACGCUUUCCUACUCCAAAGAGUUUUCCCUGAUUAACCUCAAUUCACAACACCUUUCUUUUCAUCGACUCCCAAAGGUUUAGCUGUGUGCUUUAUGCCAAAGUGUUCCCUUUACCUCUCUAUUCAUGCCUUUGUUGCCUUGCUUAGGACAAUUCCUUCAGUGCUCAAUCAGGUAAAAAGUCGCCUUCUUCCUCCUGGCAUUCAAGGGCAAGAGUUUUAGAGUUCAGUGGUUCAGGGUUCAAUUCUGGACUCUUCCAUUUAUUCCAGCUCUAAGACCUUGAACAAUUAUUUACACUCUUGCAGCCUGAGCCUCUAUGUCUACAAAAUGAGAAUGAUAAUAACAACUGUUACUCGUACCUGUCCUUUUUAAGAUCUUUCUCUGGACAUUCUGGAUUACAUAGACGUAAACAAGACACAAACACUUAAGAGAUUUCGCUAAUCUUAUUAUAUCUCUCAGAAGAUAGGAGAUAGGUAAGGAUUGGUCUAGGCUCAUACAGAAAAGAAAACUUUCCUAAGCAUUGUAUAGAUGUGCCCCUACCUAACAGAACAAAUAUUCUUGACACUCUUUCCUCCCCGACUCUUUCCCACGAAGUAAUAAUAUUAGGUAUUCCCUAUAUAAUUGCAGCCACAUGGGAAAUUACUCCUCCAGAGUUUCUGGAGUGAAAUACAGUUUGUGCUUUGGGACAGAUGGGCUUACCAGUUACCUCAAUUUUAUAUACCAGUACAACUAGAGGCAAUGGAAUUGAGUUCCACCAGAUGGCCACAAAAUACUACGACAGGCAAGAUUCAGGAACUAAUAUAAUUAGUUGGGACAACAAAAAGACAAGAGUAAAAAAAUGUGUGGCCAUUCACAGCUAUUCUACCUUGCAAUCCAGGGCCACACAAGUUGGGUAUUGCACAAUCUUCUUCGGUGCCCCUGGGAUUAUUUCCAGAUCCAUAAUUGGGACACACAGAAAAAUUUCAAAGUUUUUUUCUGUCUACCAGGUUUGUUCCAAAUUCAUUUGAAUAUUAAGACUUUUGUGAUUUUCAUUAUUACUCAGUAGUAACAAGAGUCUGACUCUUUAUAUCACUAAAGUCUUCAACAUCUGCUUAUAAAAGUUAAAUGACAAAUACCACAGUGCCUGAUACAUUGUGAGUGUCCAGAAAAUGUUAGUUUUUAUUAUUAUGACAAAUGUCAUAUCAUCAUCGAAUACUACCGCACGUGAAAUAAAUGCUUGACGAACCUAGUCAGAUUACUCCAGCACCCUUCCUUAUACAGUUAUCAAUAAGUUGAAUCUACACAUCUAACCUACUUUGCAUUCCCCACAAACCACACCUGCACCAGCCCCAAUCAUCAAUGCUGGCCCACCAACCUUGGUCACAUAGAAAUCUGGUAGAACCAUGUGAUAAUUCUAUAUUCUGAGUUAUUUCAAUAAAGCCAGCACACUCUGAUUCUCCUUUCUAUUUCCCUUCUGUUGAGUUUUACAAAGGGGUGGAGAAGUGGGUAUGGGUUCUUUAAGUGUUUCUUAAUUAGACUUGAGGACAUUUGCUAGAGGGGAAAGAGAAAGUCAAGAUGAAAUGUGUGAGCAAGUACUUUUGAAGACAAAUUUCCACAUCUACACUUGAUUCAAUUAUAGUUUAAGGUCAUUUUCUCCCAUGCCAGAUUGAAAUGUAUAAACUCUGUUCAUCCUUGGAAGGUAGGAAUCUGAGCCUGUAGGAGCCAGGGGAGGGCUUCAGAAAUAUGUAUAAUGUAAGGUCUGCAAAUCUCAGGACCCAGAUGUUUACAUGAGCAAAUCUGAGGUAACAUCCAUAGGAACAAAACAGCCUCACUCUUCUCAUUUCACUUUUGUCCACUGACUAACCUGGUAAAUACUACCGCACCAUAGACCAAUGGGACAAGGGUGGUCAGUAGCUCUCUGUGUCCCUGCUGGUGGUUCCGCAGGUCUUUGUACAGUUAUCAGAUAUUCAUAUAGAUAAUUAGCUGCCUUCACUGCUUAGGUUGUGUAACUGGAGACAUAACUUCUAAGCAAUUUCCUUUUUGCAGUUUUUUCAACCUUACUGGGGCUUUAACCUCAAAAUGCAAGCUGUAGAACAUAAAACAGAGCAGGAUUUACAUGUUCUGGAAUCAAGACUAUUGCUCCUGUUUUAUUUACUUCAGUCAAGAGAAUUUGAUGAGGGAUGUUUUGAUGAGUAUAUCUCUGAAAAGUUGGAACAUUCACGUAAAUGAUUGUUCUACAACUUAAAAUUCUUUCAUACCAGCUCACGAAUUUUUUUACCCAGCUCUAAUUACAUAAAUGGUUAUAUAAACAUAUGUCUGUUACACCAAAGUCUACUUCACUUGGGAACUCAUAUGCCAGUGGGCUCAAAGAAUCAUCUUUUGAUGUUACCAAGGAACAUUUUAUGCCAUCAGGAUGAAGCAGAAAGGCAGUCAUCAAUCAGGCUCCUUUGCCUUCAUGCUCCAAGGCACAGAGAGAAAAGACCCAGAAGAGAGCGCGCUACAAGUCUCAGCUUGAUCCCUAACAGAACUCUUUAUCUUGGUUAAAUUAAUUCCUUUUCGCAAACUACAUACUUUUGUCAACGUCUCCUCUAUAACUGUGAUAAAGACAAUGGUAUAUAAAAGGCUUUCCUCUGGAGAGUUUUAUUUGAUCUUCAUAAGACAGUUGUGAAAUAAGUAAAAAGGAAGCUAUGGACUUCCAUUAGCAAAAACUCAUAUCUAAAAGCCACUGAGCUAAAAAUAAUUCAUUCAACCAUUCAUGCAUGCAGGAAACAAUAUUUCUGAUUGCCUUCUAUGUGCCAGGCACAGUGUUUAUGCUUCUAUAGAAUGAUGAUUAAAAGCAGACCUGAACAUUGCCCUUAAAAAUCUUAUAGCUGGGGAGACCUUCAAGAUGGUGGAGGAGUAAGACGUGGAGAUCACCUUCCUUCCCACAAAUACA